rnacentral:ncRNA from 1 species
AUAAAAGCUAUGAAGAGAAGAGUAGUUAUGAGGGAAUACUCAGAGAGUUUCCAUUUGGUGUGAGGAAAUUAUGAAAUCAUAAUGAAACAAGUCUCGGAGCUGCAUACGGAUCUUAUAAAGUAAAACUUUUUAGGUGGAAUUUUAUUUUCGCUGAAUUUAGUUUGAAUUAUCUUAGAGAGUGCAACCUAUAACUCGCAUUUGAAGAAGAUGUGAUGUUACUUAUGCCUAAAUAUAAGAUAAAAAUUAAUUAUAAGUGAUGCUAUGACGUAAGUUCACGUUACAGAACCAGAGUAUGAUUUAACCUAUAAUUUUAGGGAGAUGGUGUACUUGAAGAGCCUAAAAUGGUGACAUUUUAGGGAAAAGGGUGGCAUCGCGAAAUAGAAGUUUCGCCCCUGUA